UGGGGAAUAUUGGACAAUGGGCGCAAGCCUGAUCCAGCCAUGCCGCGUGAGUGAUGAAGGCCCGAGGGGUGUAAAGCUCUUUCACCGGGGAAGAUAAUGACGGUAACCGGAGAAGAAGCGACGGCUAACUUCGUGCCAGCAGCCGCGGUAAUAAGAAGGGGGCUAGCGUUGGUCGGAUUUACUGGGCGUAAAGCGCACGUAGGCGGACUUUUAAGUCAGGGGUGAAAUCCCGGGGCUCAACCCCGGAACUGCCUUUGAUACUGGAAGUCUUGAGUAUGGUAGAGGUGAGUGGAAUUCCGAGUGUAGAGGUGAAAUUCGUAGAUAUUCGGAGGAACACCAGUGGCGAAGGCGGCUAACUGGACCAUUACUGACGCUGAGGUGCGAAAGCGUGGGGAGCAAACAGG
rnacentral:rRNA from 1 species